AGAAACCCUCGGUGGCUUUUAUUAUUGUUUUAGGCCUUUGACUUUAUAUAAGCUCUGGAUUUUCAUCUUCAGUUUGAAUACAACGGGCAGUUUAGCCCCAUGGCGUGCCAUGUGAAACGCCAUGUGUGUUUUCCUUCCCUGUGCUUCAUUUUCCUGCAUUCCUAGUAUAUGAUGUAUCCUGUUCUCUGUUUACAGUUCUAAGCACAAUGCGGAUGGUACUCCUGAAUGAAAUACAACAGAAUGGAGGGAAAUAUACCCAUAGUAGUGUCAUAGCAGGAGCCUAUGUUGUGCCUACCAGAGAGGUCCAAUAGAGCUCAUCUCUGCCUGGCAACAAACUACGUAAACUGGCAAAGAAGAGACUUAAGAACACUGGGUCAAGCUGGGAGUGAGGGGGAUACUUCAGAGUAUAAUGCACAUGAGGAUGACUACCACGGCUACCAGUAUCAUCACCAGAACUCUUACCCUCUGGCCCUGUCUUUGGGGAUUUAUACUUCAUCUUAGAAGAAGAAUCUAGAAUCCCAGCCAUCUUACCAAAAUCUCUGGGAGACUGAAAAUGCAAGUCAGCAUGAGUGGAUUCAGCAAAGUUGGUGCCGGGAACUUUGGCAGCAAUGGGAGGCGAAGCUGUCCGCUGUACAGUGAGGCUGUAUCACCUUCAGCAAUUGACAGCCCCAGAGCAGGCUCAAUGGCAAUAAUGAAAAGGUGGGGAGGAAUGGAGUGUCUCUAAAGCAGCUGUUGCAGCGAGAUCAGAGCAGGAACCAUUGAUCCCCCUAGGGGCUCCCUCCUGGUGACCCAAGUUCUGAGCUUGGAAAUAUUUGUAAGACCUCCUGAAUAGUCUCAAAGGUAAGCUGGAGAGGCUUUGGGAAUUGAAAUUGGUCUAAAAUUCUAUGAGAUGCAUGUGAGAGAAGAGCAGAAUAAAUUCAGUUUAGAGGCAGAUUGAGAUCUGAGUUUUAUAUUGUAAACAUGCUAAUAGCAGUUAGCCAGUUAAAAUUAUGGGUAAUUCUUUGUUAUUUUUUUCUGAAAAUUUUGUAAAUAUUUCCAAAGUGAAAAAGUAUUUUAAAAAGGAUGGUAGUAACAACAUUAGUCAAAGUUGUUUGAGUAACUCAUGUAUGUUAACAAAUUUGAUGGUAUAUGUGGAACUAUAUACAUAUAUAUAUACACACACACACACACACAUACACAUAUAAUUAGCUACAUAUUAUAUAUUUCACACAUCUGUUAGAGUUCAAGAUAUGUAACUAUAUAACUAAGCCAAAAGAGUGGCUCCAAUCACUUCAUAAAAGAGAUGCUUGAAACUUGUAAUUUCCCCAGAUUGUGCCAUAAAAGUAGAAAUCAGGUGAGGAUUAGAAUCAUCAGCUCCCAUAUAACUAUUACUUAGCUCCCAAGGAUCUUUCAAAUUAAGUAGAAAAAGAAAAUGACAUUCUCAACAGGGAGAGGCUAGUAUGGUUUUUUUCUGUUAUAAUGAGAGGCUGAAACUAAUUGUUGAGCUGCUUGGGAACAGAAAGUAAAUGCUAGAAAAAUAGCAGCUAAAAUAACAGAGUAUAUAGUAACCUUUACUUUCCCUCCCCUAAAGAAAUUAUUCAAGUGUGUUUUAUAAUUAUCUUGAUUUUUUACUUUCUCUAAAAUUAUUACUUAACAAUGGGCAAAACCUCCUGGCAUCAUUUUAUGCAGCACUAAAUGUCAGAGAAAUUUGUCUGUAGGGCAGACGCCUAGGGGAGAUGAAGCAGAUAAUGUCCAGAGAGGUGUCAGACUAGCUUAGCAAAUGUUUCCCCAGUUAAAACGGAAUUAAAGUGCUUAUUUACCUCAGUGAAGUUAAGCCAUAAAUCUAGUAAUAGCAAUUUUGUGAAUUGUGAAAAUGGUGUCCAAUUUUGAAAAAGAAAAAUAGUGCUUUAACAAAUCCUCUUGCCUCCAUUCUUACUACAGAAGACAUGGGUAUGCUCUCAUUUGUCCCAACAGAAAACAUCCAUUACAAGAGCAAAAAAAUGCCUGGAAUGUAAAUUCAGUAUCAGAAGUUUAUUCUGGUCCUGGGAUUUGAAUAUUAGUGAUGGAUAAUAUUGACAAGGGUGAAAAUAGAAUUUGAAAAUGGUCAUAAUUCUCUUUUCUUUGUGUGUGUGUUUUUGUAGCUACAGUUAUCUACAGUGGUUAUAUAUUUCAUAAACUCUCAGAGGAAAUGUGGAACAAAUGAUACACCAAUAAAUCUGGCUUCAAUAAUUUCAGCCUGGAAUAUGCAGUAAUGAUCAUUUCUGUGGAUGGAUGCGAUAUGUCUCCCAACAAAUAGCCUCCAAACCUGCGCAGCCAACUAUUGGAAAAUCACUGUUCUGCUCCAGAAGACAUCAGCCAUUCGUUCCUGCUCAUGGGUCAUUGUGCCAUUUCUUUGGGGUAGGCAGCUCAGUAAUGCUGAAUAUACCCACUGACUUCAGCUCUUUAAAUUCUGUUUGUUGUCAUCACACUUCCAGCUGACUCUGAAAAAUGGCAGCUCUGCUUGGGGUUGGUAGUGGGACGGAAGGGUGCUUAAGCACUUCUAAACUGCAAAGAGUGUUCUAUAGCAUGCUCCAGUGUGGUACACAAUCUGGGUGUAAUUGGACUUUUUGGAUUGCUUGGCCCAAAAUACAACUGAGCGAUACACAAGAGAAUAUAUAUUUUUAACACUGUAGUGGCUGGCAGCCAUUGGAAAAUCAAGAAUUGAUUUGGCAUAUUAAAAUAAUUUUAAUAGCACAUUAAUUAUGUUGUCUUCUAUAUCCAAGUGCAUUAGCACUUACACAUAUAUUUCUCAUCAACCUUAUUUUGCUGGCAUUUUUUUGGCAUUUUAUUAUUUUUAUUUUGAGAUAAGAAAAUCAAUUAACAGAGAGGCUAAAUGAUUUGCCCAAGAUUGUGCAGCCAGUGAGCAGGAGACAAAGCUUCAGAUCAGAGCUUCCCACUCAGGAGCAUGACUCUAAGCUUAUUUCUGGUCUUUGGGACCAAAGGACAGAGGGGCUCAGUUUUAGAACUUUUGGCUGUAAGGAUGCUUUGAAUCCAUUUUAUCUCAGGUAGAUUGACUUAUCCAAUUCCAGUGUUGUCAUAGCCCUCUGGCUGUUUGUACAUUAUGGCAAACAUAUCAAGCAUAGUGGUGAGGAAGGAAUGGCAUUUUGGAAUAGCAGAAUAUAGUAAAAUAUAUGAAAAAUUUAAAAAAUUUAAAAUCAUGAUUAAAACUGCUCCAUUUCAUAUAAUGGCCUCCAGACUUGAGACAAAUCUUUUUCUUUUUUUUCCUGAGAUUCAUGGAUGGAUGGUUGCUCAGUGUUUCAAAGCACACACCUACCAGCAUCUCUUUCACAGAGAAACAAGGCAUGCCUUUUUUUCUUUAAAAGUGCUGAUCUAAGGCCACUUCUGGAACAUUUACCCCACCUUCCUAGACAAAGCAGACUUGCACCAUCCAGCUUACCAUAUUCUCCAUUUUUACCACAAGUAAAGAGUUACUUCUGGAAGGCAGGUGUGUUUCUCAGGUCUCUGUUGCUUCACUUUCAAGGUAUAAAAUAGCUGAGGCUAUUUUUUGUGCAUUCCCGUCCUCCCUAGACAUUACGGCUAUGCUGAAUUACUUCGAAAGUGGUCUUUCAUUUCCAAACCCCAAAGAAUUUUAACAGCUAACUUUUACUCUCUCUACCUAGAUAUUUAUCUAAGUUUUAUUCUAUUUCCAUAUAUCUGCAGGCUUUUGAGAUUCUGGAACUAUAAUGUCUCUCUCCUUCUUGCUCUUGCUCACUCAGAAAUGUGAAUCUUUUGAGUUCCAGCUCAAAGGCUCUCUCCCUUCUUAAAGAAAUACCUAGUUUGAAAUAAAUAUCCCCAUCUCUCAGGUACCAAUAGAUCAGCAAAAUUAAACAACUCCAGAAACUGGUCACUGAGAAGAUAGAGAUGGUGGUGCUCCAGCCACCUGUAGAGCUGGAGGUAGGUCCAGCUGACGUCACUGCUCAGUCUCAGCCUGGCCUCUCAGCUCCCUGGUCAGAGACUGGGGGCAGAGGAGAACUUCCUUGGCCCAGGCAUCUUGGAGUCCUGUCUCAUCAUCACAGCUGCCAUCCCUGAGAAAGAUGACGCUCAGCCUAUCCCUACCCCUACCCACCAUAGCCCACUUGGCCCUACUCCCUAAAAGCCACAUGACCUGGGAGGAAAAACUCAAAAAAUGAAAUAAAAUAAAUGCCUGGGCCUUUCUUCCUCUGGGCUGCUCCCCUACCUGACCACCAGAAAGCCAGAAGCCAGAAUAUAAAGUCACGAAUCUGGACAUGCUGGAUGAAUGAGAAGUUGACGAAAAGAAAGUAGGCGGAAAUGCACACUGGAAACAGCAUUAAGACGGAAGGAGGUGGUGUAGAAUAUAUUAUGUGAGCGCUGUAAUGUUUACCAUAGCACUAGUGUAAAGUACAUUUUGGCCUGGUUGACCAAGCUUCAGGGAGGUUCAUAAUUCAGUAGAAAUGUAUGGGGGCAGAAGGCAGCCAAGGAGAGUCUAAAUGGUAAGAAAUGGUCUACAGAUUAAAAAUUGACUGAAUAAUUCAUACGUUUUAGGAUCAUCUAUGUGAUUUACUAUGAGAUGUUAAUGGCGUUAACAAUUAACAAAGUAAUUUACUGAUGUGAUGUUCAGACUUAUUUUCCAUUUCCGUGGAUUCCUACUUCAAUUAUUUUUAGUUAAAGAAGAUAAAAUACAAACUGCUGUAAUUAAUAUUGGGUAUAUAUUCCCUCUAAUACAUUCGCAUUUUACAUCCUCAUCUUUAUAGUAACAGCAAUUCAGAUUCAAUCAACAUUUCUGUGUGCACCACUACAUUCAAUGCAUUUAGUCUUAUCCAAAGUUUAAAAAAAUGAUUUUUUAUAAUGAGCUAUAUAAAUGGCUGACUUAGAAAAUUUAUUCAUUUGCAAUCAGACUUGUGGAUAUUAACUGCUGUCUUUAUAUGUGUACGUAUAUAAACAAACACAAGAAGAAAUGAUAGGAGAAAUCACUGUCUAAGCAGACUUUAUAUUUAGAUGUAUUCUAGAUGUACAUUAUGCUCUUGCAAAAUAGCUAAGACCAACUCCAUGGCCCAUUAUCAUCCGACUCCUGCCUCUGGUCUCAACUCCCCUCAUAAGCUCUUCCCUUUAUUGCCACCUUCAGUACCACAGCUGGCCUGUCCUUUCCAAGAGGACAGCAUGCCUGUCCAAUACCAUGUAUUUUCUGUUCUUUUGUCAGGAGAGGUUCCCCUGCUUUUCAGCUAGUUCUCUCCUUGAUUAUUGUUUCUAAAGCAGGUUCCUCUGGCUGUUCUUUAGACAGCAUCCCUUUUAUUUCCUUCUUGACACUUAUUACAAGUUGUAUUGAUUUCCACUUCUUGUUCGACUAUAUAUAUUGUGUUUUCCCAAUUAGAAUAUAAGUUCUUCAAACACAGUCACCAGGUAUGUCUUGUUCACUUUGUGUUUAAUAUAGGGCAAAGUGCUUAGAAUUUUUUUUUUAAUUAAGGAAUGAAAGGGCACACAUUUCACAAUUAUCAUUCUUCUUGUCCUGUAUUCUCGGAAACAUGACUAGAGAUUUCCCAAACACUUCAGGUUCUAGGCAUGAAUUAUACACACAUAAAAUCAUAAGGCUAUAAACCAAGCCAUCUUAGUUCCUUUUAUCUUGGAUCCCUGGUUUGCAUUUAAAGUGUAUAAUAUUUUUAGAGUAUUUCGGAUUUUACUAAUAAAUAUCUUAAAGCCAUCAGAAACAUUAUUGCUAAUAUCUACACUUAUGAUUAAUAAGGUUGUGUUGAAUUGGCUGCUUUAAAAAUUGUGGAAAUCUGUAAGAUACACCAUAAAACUAAAAAGCAUACUAUAAAAACAUUUAUGGUAUGUGUAAUUAUACAAAAACACCUACAUACAAGCAUAGGGAAAGAAUUUAGAAGGAAAUGCGUAAAAUGUUGAAGGUGUUUACCCAGGGGUAAUGGGAAUAAUAGGAAAUUUUCAUUUUCUUUUUUAUAUUUUUCAAUAUUUUCCAUCUCCAUAAAAUAUAAAUGUAUUGUUUUUUAUGUGAGUAAACAAAUAUCCAGAAAACCACUGAAUAGUUGGGAAAAUAAAUUGCCUUUAAGCACAAGACAAACUGCAGAGAGUGGAAUGACUAAUUUCUUUCAUAACUAUUUAUUUAGAGUUUUAUGUCUUCCUGGAACUGCUGCAGAAUGUGUCAGGCUUUCAAAAAGAAAUGAAUCUAGUUUCUACCCUUAACGAUGCAAGUCAUGUUUACAAUUAACUGUAAUUAAAGAUGGAAUGUUGUAAAUUAUCACGAAGAAUAUGAGAUACAGAGGUGGGAAAGUCCUUUCCUGGGAUGUGAUUAGAGUUUUCAUGGGAAUGGCCACCAAGACAAGCAAGAAUGUUGACUAUGAGAGGAAGACUGUUCAGAUCAAGGGACUAACAUGCACAAAGGUGGCCAGGCAGGAAGAGACAGAGUAUUUCAGUAAGGGGAAGGAGGGAAACAGGACAUACUGG